rnacentral:rRNA from 1 species
UGGGGAAUCUUCCGCAAUGGACGAAAGUCUGACGGAGCAACGCCGCGUGAGUGAUGACGGCCUUCGGGUUGUAAAGCUCUGUUAAUCGGGACGAAUGGUUCUUGUGCAAAUAGUGCGAGGAUUUGACGGUACCGGAAUAGAAAGCCACGGCUAACUACGUGCCAGCAGCCGCGGUAAUACGUAGGUGGCAAGCGUUGUCCGGAAUUAUUGGGCGUAAAGCGCGCGCAGGCGGAUUAGUCAGUCUGUCUUAAAAGUUCGGGGCUUAACCCCGUGAUGGGAUGGAAACUGCCAAUCUAGAGUAUCGGAGAGGAAAGUGGAAUUCCUAGUGUAGCGGUGAAAUGCGUAGAUAUUAGGAAGAACACCAGUGGCGAAGGCGACUUUCUGGACGAAAACUGACGCUGAGGCGCGAAAGCCAGGGGAGCGAACGGG